rfam:Saprolegnia parasitica CBS 223.65 unplaced genomic scaffold supercont2.62, whole genome shotgun sequence.
GACAGCUUGGCCGAGCGGUUAAGGCGAUAGACUCGAAAUCUAUUGGGGUUACCCGCGUGAGUUCAAAAUCUCACAGCUGUCG